UACGAAGGGGGCUAGCGUUGUUCGGAAUUACUGGGCGUAAAGCGCACGUAGGCGGAUACUUAAGUCAGGGGUGAAAUCCCGGGGCUCAACCUCGGAACUGCCUUUGAUACUGCAAAUCUCGAGUCCGGAAGAGGUGAGUGGAAUUCCUAGUGUAGAGGUGAAAUUCGUAGAUAUUAGGAAGAACACCAGUGGCGAAGGCGGCUCAGCUGGUCCGGUACUGACGCUGAGGUGCGAAAGCGUGGGGAGCAAACAGG
rnacentral:rRNA from 1 species